CUGCGAGUAUUGUAUUGCUGCAGUGACACUGUCGCCUCGGCAUUCAGUGCCGCUCUCACGUCCUCG
rnacentral:sRNA from 1 species